UACAGAGGGGGCAAGCGUUGUUCGGAAUUACUGGGCGUAAAGGGCGCGUAGGCGGCCCGCUAAGUCGAACGUGAAAUCCCCGGGCUCAACCCGGGAACUGCGUCCGAUACUGGCAGGCUUGAAUUCGGGAGAGGGAUGUGGAAUUCCAGGUGUAGCGGUGAAAUGCGUAGAUAUCUGGAGGAACACCGGUGGCGAAGGCGGGUCUCUGGGCCGAUACUGACGCUGAGGAGCGAAAGCGUGGGGAGCGAACAGG
rnacentral:rRNA from 1 species